UAGAAAUCAGGCUCUCUUAAGCUCACUAAUUUUGGUCAUUGAAGUGAACUGAAAUGAAAGGAUAUAAUUUAUUCUCUUGCUUCAUUACAGAAUCUUGCUGCUGAGAAAACAUACAAUAACCUAGAUAUCACAGUGACCCAGGCCCUUCAGCACCGUUCACAGUAUUUUGAAGGUGUUGUGAAGUGCAAUAAGCUGGAAAUACUGGAGACCAUUGUGGACAGAAUAGUAAGAGCUGAGGUCCAUCGGCUGGUGGUGGUCAAUGAAGCAGAUAGUAUUGUGGGUAUUAUUUCCCUGUCAGACAUUCUGCAAGCCCUGAUCCUCACACCAGCAGGUAAAAUGCUGGUUUCUGACCUUUGUCAUCGGCAUCUAGGAAGGGUGGGAGGUAGAACAGGAAGUGCAGCAUUUAAACCAUCAUUUCUCCGCCCACCUACAGAUCAAGGCUUUGAGUAUAUUACUUUGAAACCGUUUUCGUUUUCUUUU
rnacentral:sRNA from 1 species